UUGCCUCAUUCUGGGUGACAGCCUGCCAGAGAGGCCCUGCCAAACUCUGGGCAGAUCGUUCGGUCCUGGAUUGGGCUAGGCCAGACAUUUCCAAACUGUGCUGUUCUUUGGAAGUACAUGGAGAGCUUAAAAACAUUCUGACUGACGAGGUGAAAGUUUCCCAGAGGGGCUCUGACUGCAGUCAAGUUUGAGGACUAUUAAAUAGGUCUUUUCUGAGGUCUUUUGGUCCAGAUUGACCUGGAUCAGCUACAGAAGAGAAGCCAGAAGUGAAAGCCUUUUACCUGGUGGCGGAUGAGCCUGCUUAGAAGUCUCUUGAGCCGGGGGUGUGAAGAGUUGCAGGCCUUAGGGUCUGGGCUGGCUGGACUUGGGGAACCUUGACUGCAGCUUCGAGACUCAGUAGAGGGAACACAAACCCAUGGUUCCUUCACCUGGCUUGGAUGAAACGGUGACAUGCCUGAACUACGUGUUCCAUCUGCAAAUAGGUGGCAGCUGCCAGGACAGCUGGUGCAGUGGCUGGAGAAAGGCGAAG